GGUAGGAAUGGACGGAUGGGUGGAUGGAUGAAUGGGUGGGAUGGAUGGAUGGAUGGGUGGAUGGAUGGAUGGAUGAAUGAAUGAGUGAAAUUAGAGCUUGUAUAAAAGACUGAAAGGAACUAAGGAGGAGAAGAAAACAAGGGGGAUAUAUCACCCCAGAGCCUGAGGGAAGAUUUUGUUCCAAGAAAGAGGGUGGGGUACCAGGCCUGCUUGGUCAGGCCUGGCUGGUGCCUGACACCUCUGAAGGAGACAGAGACAGGGAUCGGUGUGCUAGGAGAUGAGCUCAGUCUCUGAUUUUAGAGUUGUUUUAUUCUUCAACUGUUUAUUUUGAAAUAACUUCAGACUUGCAGAAUGUUGCGGAAAAGUGCCCAGUCUUCCAGUCUGCCCUCAGCCAGCUUCCCCUAAUGUCGCAUCUCACAGAACCAGUAGGGUGCUCGCACACCAUCUCUCAAAAAGAAGGAGAAGGAGAAGGAGGAGGAGGGGAGGGGGAGGAGGGGAGGGGACGCCGGCUCCGCUUUGUGCCUUCAGCUGAUUUUCAUGGUGUGAAUUCUCACACCACGGCCAAAUUCAGUAAUUUACAACUGGCUUGCAAAAUCCCUGAAUAUGUAACAAUCAACUCCUGCAGGCCCGUGUGAGCUGGCCCCGGCACGGCACAGCAUGAAGAACAGUGGCCCCGAUGUCCUUCACUGUCCUCCCGACGUCCACGUCCUGUCCCGGGCCUCACGCUGCACUUAGCAGCCAUGUUUCCCUCGUCACCCUCAUUCUGGGACAACUCGGUCUUUGUCUUUCGAGACACUGACGUUUUCUCCAGUGCUGCUGGUUACUUUGCAGAAGACCCCUCAGGACUAGGAGCGUUUUCCCCAGUGACAUCACAGAAGCGACUCUGUGUCCCCAGGACUUCAUGUCAGGAGAACCUGGGGUGUCUGCCCCGUCACGGGUGAUGCUGAUGCCUUCUGGGUUUCUCCAGAUUCUUCUCUUUGUAAUGAAAGUUUCUUCAGCCUUAAAUUGGAAGGAAGCUCUGACACCUACGUGGAUGAAUGCGGAGGAUGUGAUGCCGAGUGACACAAGCCAGACAAGGAAGGACACACACUGCGACCCACUCCCACGAGGUCCCGGGGUCAUCAGACUCAUGGACACAGAGUAGACGCUGGGCCCAGGUCUGGGGGGAGCGGGGGGGGGCGGGUUCGCGUGUAACGGGGACAGAGUCUCAGUGUGGGGAGAUGCGACGUUCUGGAGCCGGACGGUGGGACGAUGGGACGGCCGCACAGCAGCGUGCAUCUGCUCGGUGCCCCUGAACUGUUCACUUAGAAGUGGUUCAAAUGGUCAAUUUAUGUCAUGUGUAUUCUACCCCCCAAAUAAGUAAAAACAAAUUGAAUACCCAGUGGGGGAGACUUGGAAACACCGGCUCCUUGUGUCUCAAACCUGCGCCCUGCAAAGCUGGCACCCAUCGCUGGCUCUGAGGCGGGCCCUGCCUCCAAGGGCGUCUCAGAGACACCCCGAGUCCCUCCCCCCACACUCGAAGUCAAGUGGCUCUACCUGAGAAGACACGAACCCUGAAGGCCACGUGGGAGGCACAACUGUGGUUAAUCUGCUGUGGGUUAGGGGUGCCAGGCGCUCUAGACCACGGCUUCCCUCCACCCCUUGGCAGAUGGAUAGCGGGCUCUGAGCUCCCUCUGUCUUGCGGGAUCACACCGCACCCCACGGGGAGGGGUUCGAAGGAAGCCAGGCCCCUGUGUCCUUAGUAGGCAGGCUGUUCUGGCCUUGGCCGGGGGGCCAGCUUUCCCAAAGCAGCCACAGAUAUCCUCUGGCCGGAAGGAGAAAGGAAGGGGCCAUGCAGAGGGAUCCCUGGAUGGUGGCCUCUUGGGCCCUGCUCCAUCCAGGACACGGCCACAUCCUCAGGGACCCAGCAGGGCCACGCACACCCCACGGUGGUGGCCUGUUCACCUGGCAUGUCCGUGGUGGCUGGCCAGGCCCUCCCACUCAUCCAAACAUUCCAGAAAAUGUUCUCAGGACCCCUCCGGUGUCCUCCAGCCCCUCCCGCUGCAUUCAGGACGCAGCCUGGACAGACAGAUGGACAGACAGGCCAGGCGCCCUCCUCUCUUGCAUCCCAAGUCUUCGAGCCCCUAACUGGGUUCUCCAGAGCUCUGCCUCGGUUCUCCCAAACUUGCAGUCCAACGCUGUGGCCAUCCAUCACGGCCAGAUGAAGCCCGUCCCGAAUCCGGAGCCAGUGGCCAGGUGACGAAAGGCUCCGAGACCCAGGCCCCUCCCCACGAGCCACUGACGUCCCCUGGGGGCUGAGCGGGACA